rnacentral:rRNA from 1 species
UACAAUCAAUAAGCGGAGGAAAAGAAACUAACAAGGAUUCCCCUAGUAACUGCGAGUGAAGCGGGAAAAGCUCAAAUUUAAAAUCUGGUGGCCCUCUGGUCAUCCGAGUUGUAAUUUAGAGAAGCGUCUUCCGCGCUGGACCGUGCACAAGUCUCCUGGAAUGGAGCGUCAUAGAGGGUGAGAAUCCCGUCUUUGGCACGGAUCCCGGGGCUUUUGUGAUGCGCUCUCGAAGAGUCGAGUUGUUUGGGAAUGCAGCUCAAAAUGGGUGGUGAACUCCAUCUAAAGCUAAAUAUUGGCGAGAGACCGAUAGCGAACAAGUACCGUGAGGGAAAGAUGAAAAGCACUUUGGAAAGAGAGUGAAACAGUACGUGAAAUUGUUGAAAGGGAAACGCUUGAAGUCAGUCGCGUUGUCCGAGACUCAGCCUCGCCUCGGCUUGGUGUACUUCUCGAUCGACGGGUCAGCAUCAAUUUUGCCCCUUGGAUAAUGGCGAGGGAAAUGUGGCACCUUUGCGGGUGCGUUAUAGUCCCCCGUCGCAUGCAAGGGUUGGGAUUGAGGAACUCAGCACGCGCCUUUUGGUGUCGGGGUUUUGCCCACGAUACGUGCUUAGGAUGUUGGCGUAAUGGCUUUAAACGACCCGUCUUGAAACACGGACCAAGGAGUCUAACAUGCCCGCGAGUGUUCGGGUGGAAAACCCGUGCGCGCAAUGAAAGUGAAAGUUGGGACCUCUGUCGUGGAGGGCACCGACGCCCGGACCAGACCUUCUGUGACGGAUCUGCGGUGGAGCGUGUAUGUUAGGACCCGAAAGAUGGUGAACUAUGCCUGAAUAGGGUGAAGCCAGAGGAAACUCUGGUGGAGGCUCGUAGCGAUUCUGACGUGCAAAUCGAUCGUCAAAUUUGGGUAUAGGGGCGAAAGACUAAUCGAACCAUCUAGUAGCUGGUUCCUGCCAGAUU